CGAAGAAGUCACAUCCGUCACUUUCAAGCCUAGGUGUAUGAGGUGUGGGGGAGGAAAGCACAGGCAUCCCUGAGAAGCCUGUUGGAGAAUCAGCAUCCUCAGGGGAGAUUCGAGUUUCAAUCGGAGCAAGAAGCAUCCCAGAGGCACUUUAACCAAACCCUGGAGAGAGAAGAAAUAAGCCAUAGGUCAUAAAGAUGGCGAUGGUUAUUUCCUUCCUCAUACCCAUGGUUUGUUACAAUGUGACUUUGCGGUUCUUCCCAUCAGUAAACAGAAGCCAUUUUCUUACUCCUUGCCUCUGGAUGGGCCUUGUGGCUUGCUUUGAGCAAUAGAACGCAUCAGAAGGUGACCUCAUGCCAGUUUCAUGCCUUGGCUUCAGGAGGCCUUGAAUUCUCUGCUGCUCCUUAGGAAUCUUCUGAGCCACUGCUUAACAAGCUCCAACCUCUCCAGCUGGAAGAUGAGGCAUAAUACAGAGGAGAGGCAAACUGUCCUAAAGAGACUACCCUAAGCCAACCAGUCCAGAUGACAGGAGGUUGACCUUGACACAUGUGUAAGCCCAGCCAAGGUCAGCCAAACCUAGUACAGAUCAGAAAAACCAUCUAUCAAUGCUCAGCCCAAAUUUCCAACCCACAGAAAUAUGAAUUAAAUAAAUGAUUGUUGUUUAAACCAUCUUGAUUUUGAGAUGCUCACACGACUGACAGCUGAUUGAACUGCCAUCUGGCUACUUACCAGGUUUAAAAAUCACAAUUAUGUCUGCAUAUGCACACAAUGCUAACUCUUUUGGAUGGGCCUUUUCUCAUAGGAUUCUCUUUCUCAAACACAGUUGAAUUAUCUUUUUAUUAUGUUUUCUCCAUCCAGUUUCUAAUUGUGGGAUCUUAUUUGUGGGAUCUAAAAAAUUGAACUCAUGGACAUAGAGAGCAGAAUGAUGGUUACCAGAGGCUGGGAAGGGUAGUGGGGGGAUGUGAGGCAGUAGGGAUAAUGAAUGGGUAUAAAAAAUAAAAAGAAUGAAUAAGACCUACUAUUUGAUAGCACAACAGGGUAGCUGCAGUCAAUACUAAUUUAGUUGUACAUUUUAAAAUAACUAAAAGAGUGUAAUGGGAUUGUUUGUAAAACAAAGGAUAAAUGCUUGAGGGGGUGGAUACCCCAUUUUCCAUGAUGUGAUUAUUUUACAAUGCAUGCCUGUUUCAAAACAUCUCAUGUACCCUGUAA
rnacentral:lncRNA from 1 species